CUUGUUGGAAAGGUCACAUGUUGCUUUUAGUCUUUCCUCCUACAGCAACACUCUCUUCAGAGGAGGGGAGAGGUUCCUUAGACCAGGAAAUAAUAUAAUUUGCUGUGGUUGAGAAAGAGAAACUCAGAAGUUUUAGAGGAUUCACCCAGACUUUAGAAGGAGAGACCCUGACCAGCUUCAGAGAAGACACAGACCUGUCCCUAGCCUGCAAGCUGUGCAGUCUCAGCUGUGCUGUCCCCUGAGUCACAGCCUGUGCUGACGUGGGCUCUGCGGGGAGGCAGCUGCUGUGGAUCCAUUCCGGCUCCUGAUUCUCAGAUCUCAGCCUAGUGCUUGGGUGUGAUCUCUGCAUCUGCUUCAAUUAGCUACUGGAGGAAGGUUCCCUGAUGACAGGUGGCAAAGGAGCCGGCUAAGCUGUUUCCAUUACUCUCCAGAGAACUGUAGUGGUGAUAAAUGGUACCUACAUCACUUACAGACCUUGUGAUCAAGGCAGAGACGGACCUUAGAAGGACCAGCAGUAAAAUCACCAAGAGUAAAUCAGAACCUUACACCAUAAGUCAGCAUUUGCUACACUGUCAUAAAUGGUGAUCAAUAUAUUCCAGGUCAGAACACAGGCACGAAGGUAACUGGAAUUCCAAACCUCCGGAGUUCCUCUCCAUUCAGACCCCAGAGCAUGGGACAUGGGGCAACUCUGCAGAACUUCAUGGAAGCCUCAGCAACCCGCACUACUCUACUCCACUCUACUCCAUGAUAUUUGCACAUCAUGGAAAGCUGCAGCUCAGGCACUUGCUCACUACCACCCCCUCCAAGAUAUGCCCCAUGAUGCUUACCUUGACUACCUUAAAGCAGCCUGAGGGCCCAGCCAAAGCUCCCCUGAGCCAGGUGGCAACUUGUGGUGUGCUGGCCUUGCGCUUUGGGCCAGUAUCAAGCCACCCGAAGGCUGGAGGGCGUCACAGCUGCCUGGGACUCUAGGCCUCCCUUGGAGUCUCAAAAGGAAAGCACACAUCCCUAAAGCAAGAAAGGGACGUUUCUGGAUCCCCAAUUACAAGGGGGCGGGAGCCAGGCUAGUGCCAGGUGCACAGACUCCAGCUCUGGCUUGAGAAGCAGAGCCCGUGCACGAACUGUUAUUUCCUAUGGGAGGCAUAGGAUGGAGACAGGAAGGACUAUUUCCUCUGGCAGGCGAGGAGACCCCAGGUGAAUGCCAUGGAAGGGAGCAAACGCUUAACCCAAACCAAAACAACAACAGCAACAAAAAUAAAAACAAAAUAAAAACCCCUAACCCAAAAGCAAACCCUGCACUUACUUCUUCACUGGCGCUAUCUCUGGGAGGCGUUUUGGCUGUCAAUGUAGUCCAUAAAAUUCAAAAUGAUAAAAAAAAUCAAGAAAUUAGUUGCAAAUGCAUAGUAACUCA